CAGUGCAGUCACCCAUAAAGUAGAAAGCACUACUAACAGCACUGGAGGGUGUAGUGUUUCCUACUUUAUGGAUGAGUGUACUGU
rfam:Pteropus alecto contig110478, whole genome shotgun sequence.